rnacentral:lncRNA from 1 species
UGUGUUUGAGCCUAUAUGAUUAUCAGGCUAAAGCAAACAGAUAUAGGAAGGAUUAACAUACUUGAAAAACAGGCAACCACAAAUCAAAACCAAACAUUACAUUCACAAAAACUAAAAAGAAAAGUACUCAAGCAUAACAUAUACGGAAAUAAUCCAACCAAAAAAAAGAAAAAAGAAAAGAAAAGAAGGAAGAAAGGAGAAACAUAGAAUCAACUGGAAAACAAUGUUUAAAAUGGAAAAAAAUACAUAUCUACCAAUAAUUACCUUAAAUGCCAAUGGACUGAGUGCUCCAAUCAAAAGACACAGAGUGGCAGAUUGGAUAAAAAAGCAAAAACCUACAAUCUGCUGUCUACAAGAGACCCACUUUAGGGCAAAGGACACAUACAGAUUGAAAAUGAGGGGAUUCUAAAAGAUAUUUCAUGCCAAUGGAGAAUACAGGAAAGCAAGAGUUGCAAUACUCAUAUCAGACAAAAUAGAAUUGAAAACGAAGGCCAUAAAGAAAGACAAGGAAGGACACUAUUUAAUGGUUGAAGGAUCCACUGAAGAAGAGGAUAUUACAACCUUCAAUAUAUGUUCCCCUAAUAUACAGGAGCACCCAGAUACCUCCAACAAAUACUAACAGACAUAAAAGGAGAAAUUGACAGGAAAUUGACAGGAAUACAGUCAUAGUAGGAGACUUUAAUACCCCCCUCACACCAAUGGACAGGUCCUCUAGACAGAAAAUCAAUAAGGCAACAGAGAUCCUAAAGGACACGAUAGAAAAGUUAGACUUAAUUGACAUUUUCAGGAUAGUACAUCCAAAAAAUAUCAGAAUAUACAUUCUUCUCAAGUGCACCUGGAAGAUUCUCAUGGAUCAAUCAUAUAAUGGGGCAAAAAGCUAACCUCAACAAAUUUAAGGGUAUAGAAAUUAUUUCAACUAUCUUCUCUGACCACAAUGGCAUGAAACUAGAAAUCAACCACAGGAAAAGAAAUGAGAAAAAACUAACUAUAUGGAGACUAAACAACAUGCUAGUAAAAAACGAUAGGUCAAUGAGCAAAUCAAGAAGGAAAUUAAAAAAUACCUCGAGACAAAUGAUAAUGAAGACACAACAACUCAAAAUCUAUGGGAUGCCACAAAAGCACUGCUCAGAGGGACAUUCAUGGCAAUACAGACCUUCCUCAAAAAAGAAGAAAAAUCACAAACUGACAAAUUAACCCACUACAUAAAUGAAUUAGAAAAAGACAAACAAAACCUAAAGUCAGCAGAAGGAAGGAAAUCAUAAACAUCAGAGAGGGAAUCAAUAAAACAGAGAUUCAAAAAAACAAUAGAAAAAAUAGAUAAAACUAAGAGCUGGUUCUUUGAAAAGGUAAACAAAAUUGACAAACUUCUGGCCAGACUAACCAAGAAUAGGAGAGAAAAAAAUCCAAAUAAACAAAAUAAGACAUGAAAAAGGAGAAAUCACAAUGGAUACUGCAGAA